rnacentral:rRNA from 1 species
GAUGAACGCUGGCGGCGUGCCUAACACAUGCAAGUCGAGCGAACAGAUGAGGAGCUUGCUCCUCUGACGUUAGCGGCGGACGGGUGAGUAACACGUGGAUAACCUACAUAUAAGACUGGGAUAACUUCGGGAAACCGGAGCUAAUACCGGAUAAUAUAUUGAACCGCAUGGUUCAAUAGUGAAAGACGGUUUUGCUGUCACUUAUAGAUGGAUCCGCGCCGCAUUAGCUAGUUGGUAAGGUAACGGCUUACCAAGGCAACGAUGCGUAGCCGACCUGAGAGGGUGAUCGGCCACACUGGAACUGAGACACGGUCCAGACUCCUACGGGAGGCAGCAGUAGGGAAUCUUGCGCAAAGGGCGAAAGCCUGACGGAGCAACGCCGCGUGAGUGAUGAAGGUCUUCGGAUCGUAAAACUCUGUUAUUAGGGAAGAACAAAUGUGUAAGUAACUAUGCACGGCUUGACGGUACCUAAUCAAAAAGCCACGGCUAACUACGUG